GCGGAGGAAAUUGAAACUGAGUGGCCCACGAUGGGAAGAGGGGAAGCCCAGGGGUACAGGAGGCCUCUGGGUGAAGGCAGAGGCUAACAUGGGGUUCGGAGCGACCUUGGCCGUUGGCCUGACCAUCUUUGUGCUGUCUGUCGUCACUAUCAUCAUCUGCUUCACCUGCUCCUGCUGCUGCCUUUACAAGACGUGCCGCCGACCACGUCCGGUUGUCACCACCACCACAUCCACCACUGUGGUGCAUGCCCCUUAUCCUCAGCCUCCAAGUGUGCCGCCCAGCUACCCUGGACCAAGCUACCAGGGCUACCACACCAUGCCGCCUCAGCCAGGGAUGCCAGCAGCACCCUACCCAAUGCAGUACCCACCACCUUACCCAGCCCAGCCCAUGGGCCCACCGGCCUACCACGAGACCCUGGCUGGUGAGUGCCCCUGCCAACUCUAGCCCUGCCCGACUUCCCGAGUCUCUGCCAGCAUCCCUCGGGCACCCAUCCCAAACUACAUCACUCAACAGGCCUCUGCCCCUUUCUGCUCGCCUGCCACUCACACGGCAGCCCACCAUGCUCACAGCCAACUAGGGUCCUCUCUGCUUUCAGGAGGAGCAGCCGCACCCUACCCCGCCAGCCAGCCUCCUUACAACCCGGCCUACAUGGAUGCCCCGAAGGCGGCCCUCUGAGCAUUCCCUGGCCUCUCUGUAUGCCACUUGGUUAUGUUGUGUGUGUGUGUGAGUGGUGUGCAGGCGCGGUUCCUUACGCCCCAUGUGUGCUGUGUGUGUCCAGGCACGGUUCCUUACGCCCCAUGUGUGCUGUGUGUGUCCUGCCUGUAUAUGUGGCUUCCUCUGAUGCUGACAAGGUGGGGAACAAUCCUUGCCAGAGUGGGCUGGGACCAGACUUUGUUCUCUUCCUCACCUGAAAUUAUGCUUCCUAAAAUCUCAAGCCAAACUCAAAGAAUGGGGUGGUGGGGGGCACCCUGUGAGGUGGCCCCUGAGAGGUGGGGGCCUCUCCAGGGCACAUCUGGAGUUCUUCUCCAGCUUACCCUAGGGUGACCAAGUAUGGCCUGUCACAUCAGGGUGGCGCAGCUUUCUGUGUGAUGCAGAUGUGUCCUGGUUUCGGCAGCGUAGCCAGCUGCUGCUUGAGGCCAUGGCUCGUCCCCGGAGAUGGGGGUACCCUUUGCAGAGCCAGGGACAUGAUGCAGGCGAAGCUUGGGAUCUGGCCAAGUUGGACUUUGAUCCUUUGGGCAGAUGUCCCAUUGCUCCCUGGAGCCUGUCAUGCCUGUUGGGGAUCAGGCAGCCUCCUGAUGCCAGAACACCUCAGGCAGAGCCCUACUCAGCUGUACCUGUCUGCCUGGACUGUCCCCUGUCCCUGCAUCUCCCCUGGGACCAGCUGGAGGGCCACAUGCACACACAACCUAGCUGCCCCCAGGGAGCUCUGCUGCCCUUGCUGGCCCUGCCCUUCCCACAGGUGAGCAGGGCUUCUGUCCACCAGCACACUCAGUUCUCUUCCCUGCAGUGUUUUCAUUUUAUUUUAGCCAAACAUUUUGCCUGUUUUCUGUUUUCAAACAUGAUAGUUGAUAUGAGACUGAAACCCCUGGGUUGUGGAGGGAAAUUGGCUCAGAGAUGGACAACCUGGCAACUGUGAGUCCCUGCUUCCCGACACCAGCCUCAUGGAAUAUGCAACUCCUGUACCCCAGUCCAGGGUGUUCUGGCAGCAGGGACACCUGGGCCAAUGAGCCAUCUGGACCAAAGGUGGGGUGUGGGGCCCUGGAUGGCAGCUCUGGCCCAGACAUGAAUACCUCGGUGUUCCUCCUCCCUCUAUUACUGUUUCACCAGAGCUGUCUUAGCUCAAAUCUGUUGUGUUUCUGAGUCUAGGGUCUGUACACUUGUUUAUAAUAAAUGCAAUCGUUUGGA
rnacentral:sRNA from 1 species